GUGCCAGCAGCCGCGGUAAUACGUAGGGUGCGAGCGUUGUCCGGAAUUACUGGGCGUAAAGGGCUCGUAGGUGGUUUGUCGCGUCGUCUGUGAAAUUCCGGGGCUUAACUCCGGGCGUGCAGGCGAUACGGGCAUAACUUGAGUGCUGUAGGGGAGACUGGAAUUCCUGGUGUAGCGGUGGAAUGCGCAGAUAUCAGGAGGAACACCGAUGGCGAAGGCAGGUCUCUGGGCAGUAACUGACGCUGAGGAGCGAAAGCAUGGGUAGCGAACAGGAUUAGAUACCCUGGUAGUCCAUGCCGUAAACGGUGGGCGCUAGGUGUGAGUCCCUUCCACGGGGUUCGUGCCGUAGCUAACGCAUUAAGCGCCCCGCCUGGGGAGUACGGCCGCAAGGCUAAAACUCAAAGGAAUUGACGGGGGCCCGCACAAGCGGCGGAGCAUGUGGAUUAAUUCGAUGCAACGCGAAGAACCUUACCUGGGCUUGACAUACACCAGAUCGGGCCAGAGAUGGUCUUUCCCUUUGUGGUUGGUGUACAGGUGGUGCAUGGUUGUCGUCAGCUCGUGUCGUGAGAUGUUGGGUUAAGUCCCGCAACGAGCGCAACCCUUGUCUUAUGUUGCCAGCACGUUAUGGUGGGGACUCGUGAGAGACUGCCGGGGUUAACUCGGAGGAAGGUGGGGAUGACGUCAAAUCAUCAUGCCCCUUAUGUCCAGGGCUUCACACAUGCUACAAUGGUCGGUACAACGCGCAGCGACACUGUGAGGUGGAGCGAAUCGCUGAAAGCCGGCCUUAGUUCGGAUUGGGGUCUGCAACUCGACCCCAUGAAGUCGGAGUCGCUAGUAAUCGCAGAUCAGCAAUGCUGCGGUGAAUACGUUCCCGGGCCUUGUACACACCGCCCGUCACGUCAUGAAAGUUGGUAACACCCGAAGCCGGUGGCCCAAACUUGUUAGGGAGCCGUCGAAGGUGAGAUCGGCGAUUGGGACGAAGUCGUAACAAGGUA
rnacentral:rRNA from 1 species